ACUUGGGGGAAUGUAUAGCUUCGGCUAAUUAUACUUGGCUGUAUAAUCGCUCAUAAAUAAUUCUUAGAUUUAUUUAUGAGCGAUUAUACAAUUUAUCCGUAAAAGGUUUAUGCUAUUAAACAUAGCGUAGUAAAAUUAAUUUGCUACUUUUAUAUUAAGAGAAAUUAUUCUCGUAGACAGGUAUAAGAUCGAUUUUAUCGAGUAAAGUUCUAGAGAAGAAAAAUUUGAUGAUGACAAACUUCUUUUCUAUAUGUCUUGACCAAAUUACGUGCCAGCAGUCGCGGUAAUACGUAAAAGACUAGUGUUAUUCAUCUUUAAUAGGUUUAAAGGGUACCUAGACGGUAUAAUUAGUCUUAAAUAAGAAACGGUUAUGCUAGAGUUAUAUAUGAGAAGGGGAGUAUUUAUGGAGUAGAGUUGAAAUUCUUUGAUACCAUAACGACUGGUAGCGGCGAAAGCAACCUUUUAUCUAAUAACUGACGUUGAGGGACGAAGGCUCGGGUCACGAACAGGAUUAGAUACCCUAGUAGUCCAAGCAGAGAAUGAUGAAUGCCAUAGAUUAGAUAUUAAUUUAGUCUAUAAAUGAAAGUGUAAGCAUUUCACCUCAAGAGUAAUGUGGCAACGCAGGAACUGAAAUCAUUAGACCGUUUCUGAAACCAGUAGUGAAGUAUGUUAUUUAAUUCGUAAGUACGCGAAAAACCUUACCACAACUUGAAUAUUAUCUUUAAGAUAUUACAAGCGUUGCACGGCUGUCUUCAGUUAAUGUCGUGAGAUAUUGGUUAAUUCCAUUAAAUUAACGGAAACCCUUGCUUUAUUUGGGUAUAAAGCAGUUCACCUAUACAUGGGAUAUGAUAAUAGGGCCA
rnacentral:rRNA from 1 species